UACGGAGGGUGCAAGCGUUAUCCGGAUUCACUGGGUUUAAAGGGCGCGUAGGCGGGAAUGUAAGUCAGUGGUGAAAUCUCCGUGCUUAACACGGAAACUGCCAUUGAUACUAUGUUUCUUGAAUUUUCUGGAGGUUAGCGGAAUAUGUCAUGUAGCGGUGAAAUGCUUAGAUAUGACAUAGAACACCAAUUGCGAAGGCAGCUAACUACAGGGAUAUUGACACUGAGGCUCGAAAGCGUGGGGAGCAAACAGG
rnacentral:rRNA from 1 species